AAAGUGCUCAUGAUGGAUAGGCCGGAUCUUUGUAAUAUAGCAAUAAGUAAGAUCUUUUACCUGCUCUUUUGUAAUGUUAACAGACAAAGAGUAAGGUCUUUUACCUGCUUUUUGUAACAUAACAAUGAGUAAGGUCUUUUUACCUGCUCUUUUGUAAUGUUAACAGACAAAGAGUAAGGUAUUUUACCUGCUUUUUGUAAAGUGUCUCGAGAUAACACUUGUUAUGAGUUGACGCUAUACAAAUAAAAAUUGAUUGAUUGAUUGAUUAAUUAA